rnacentral:rRNA from 1 species
AUUGAACGCUGGCGGCAGGCCUAACACAUGCAAGUCGAGCGAGCGGCGGACGGGUGAGUAAUGUCUGGGAAACUGCCAGUUGGAGGGGGAUAACUACUGGAAACGGUGGCUAAUACCGCAUACAACCAGAUGUGACCAGAUGGGGUUAGCUAGUAGGUGGGGUAACGGCGCACCUAGGCGACGAUCGCUUGCUGGUCUGAGAGGAUGACCAGCCACCCUGGAACUGGGACACGGUCCAGACGCCUACGUGAGGCAGCAGUGGGGAAUUUUGCACAAUGGGCGCAAGCCUGAUGCAGCCAUGCCGCGUGUGUGAAGAAGGCCUUCGGGUUGUAAAGCACUUUCUGCGGGUAGGCGUUACCCGCAGAAGAAGCACCGGCUAACUCCGUGCCAGCAGCCGCGGUAAUAC